UUACGGCCAUAUAACAUUGAAACACCGGUUCUCGUAAGAUCACCGAAGUUAAGCAACCUAGAGCCUGGUCAAUUCCGAGAUGGGUGGCCGCUUGGGAAUACUAGGUGCUGUAA